rnacentral:misc_RNA from 1 species
AACGCACAUUGCGCCCGCCAGUAUUCUGGCGGGCAUGCCUGUCCGAGCGUCAUUUCAACCCUCGCCCACUCCCCUUUAGGGGGGAGACGGGCGGCGUUGGGGCUCAGGCCGAAGGGGGUCCGGUUCUCCGGAACCGACCCCCACGGGCCUGUCCCCUAAAUGCAGUGGCGGCCUCGCCGCUGCCUCCUCCGCGUAGUAGCACAAACCUCGCGGGUGGAAGGCGGCGCGGCCACAGCCGUAAAACCCCCCAACUUUUCAAGGUUGACCUCGGAUCAGGUAGGAAUACCCGCUGAACUUAA